ensembl:lncRNA
CCCUAUUUCAGGACACCAGAAUAAAUGUCACUUUUUUGACCAGAAUAAUAUACAUGUCUGUCUGAGUCCAUUGGGGGGCUGAAUAGACACAUGAAUAGAAUAGAAACCUGUGGAGUUUGUUGAGCAGCACCGGCACUUUGCUUGGAUUAGAUUAAAUAAACAUAGAGGUCUUUGGUCAUGUGACGUAAACGUAGCGCUCUUAGGUCAUUUGAUGUGCACGCCGAGGUCUUUGGUCAUGUGACGUAAACGUAGCGCUCUUAGGUCAUGUGAUGUGCACGCCGAGGUCUUUGGUCAUGUGACGUAAACGUAGCGCUCUUAGGUCAUGUGAUGUGCACGCCGAGGUCUUUGGUCAUGUGAAGCGAACAUAGACCAUCUUUGGUCAAAUGACAUGAAGUGUCAGGAACGACUCGUCUGUAAAAACAAGCUAUGGACCAUUCCUUUAAUGAAACCUGUCAUUUCGCUGGCAGGGAUCAGGCUUCUGGCUGGUCAAAAUGUGUUGCAGACACAUAGUCACACCCCAUUUAAGAAACAUAGUUCAUCUAAAUGCUAUGGCAGUGCUGGACACAUGCACAGACACACACACUAACACAUUGACUGGGUGACCCUCCUGUGUAAUACAAUAUAGGGAGUAUUAAUAAAGUUCAGCUGCCUCACGUUCCAU